rnacentral:rRNA from 1 species
GAUGAACGCUGGCGGCGUGCUUAACACAUGCAAGUCGAACGAAGCACUUUAUUUGAUUUCCUUCGGGACUGAUUAUUUUGUGACUGAGUGGCGGACGGGUGAGUAACGCGUGGGUAACCUGCCUUGUACAGGGGGAUAACAGUUGGAAACGGCUGCUAAUACCGCAUAAGCGCACAGCAUCGCAUGAUGCCGUGUGAAAAACUCGGGUGGGAUAGGAUGGACGGGCGUUGGAUUAGCUAGUUGGUGAGGUAACGGCCCACCAAGGCGACGAUCCAUAGACGACAUGAGAGGGUGGCCGGCGACAUUGAGACUAGGACACAGCACGGACUCUUACGCAAGGCAGCAAAGCGUAAUGUUGCAAAGCGGGCGAAGGCAUGAUGGUGCGACGAUGCGUGAGCGAAGAAAUAUUUGAGUAAGUAAUGCGCUAUCAGCAGGGCAGAUAAUGACGGUACCUGACUAGAAAGCACCGGCUAAAUACGUG